rnacentral:rRNA from 1 species
UGGGAUGUGAUGGGGAGCGAAAUUUAGUAGCGAAGUAGCUGAUUUCACACUGUCAAGAAAAGUCUCUAUCGAGGUUAAAGGUACCCGUACCGCAAACCGACACAGGGGGGUGAGGAGAGUAUCCUAAGGCCAGCGAGAGAACUGUUGUUAAGGAACUCGGCAAAAUGACCCCGUAACUUAGGGAUAAGGGGUGCCACCAUCAG